rnacentral:rRNA from 1 species
AUACAUGCAGUCGAGCGGACAGAUGGGAGCUUGCUCCCUGAUGUUAGCGGCGGACGGGUGAGUAACACGUGGGUAACCUGCCUGUAAGACUGGGAUAACUCCGGGAAACCGGGGCUAAUACCGGAUGGUUGUUUGAACCGCAUGGUUCAAACAUAAAAGGKGGCUUCGGCUACCACUUACAGAUGGACCCGCGGCGCAUUAGCUAGUUGGUGAGGUAACGGCUCACCAAGGCAACGAUGCGUAGCCGACCUGAGAGGGUGAUCGGCCACACUGGGACUGAGACACGGCCCAGACUCCUACGGGAGGCAGCAGUAGGGAAUCUUCCGMAAUGGACRAAAGUCUGACGGAGCAACGCCGCGUGAGUGAUGAAGGUUUUCGGAUCGUAAAGCUCUGUUGUUAGGGAAGAACAAGUACCGUUCRAAUAGGGCGGUACCUUGACGGUACCUAACCAGAAAGCCACGGCUAACUACGUGCCAGCWGCCGCGGUAAUACGUAGGUGGCAAGCGUUGUCCGGAAUUAUUGGGCGUAAAGGGCUCGCASGCGGUUUCUUAASUCUGAUGUGAAAGCCCC